rnacentral:rRNA from 1 species
AUUGAACGCUGGCGGCAUGCCUAACACAUGCAAGUCGAGCGACCGUCGGACGGGUGAGUAAUGUCUGGGAAACUCCCUGCUGGAGGUGGAUAACUACUGGAAACGGUAGCUAAUACCUCAUACCAUCCGAUUGACCCAUAUGGGAUUAGCUAGUAGGUGAGUGAAUGGCUCACCUAGGGGACGAUCCCUAGCUGGUCUGAGAGGAUGAGCAGCCACACUGGAACUGAGACACGGCCCAGAGUCCUACGGGAGGCAGCAGUGGGGAAUAUUGCACAAUGGGCGCAAGCCUGAUGCAGCCAUGCCGCGUGUGUGAAGAAGGCCUUCGGGUUGUAAAGUACUUUAGGCCGGGAGGCGGUACCGGCAGAAGAAGCACCGGCGAACUACGUGCCAGCCGCCGCGGUAAUAC